rnacentral:tRNA from 3 species
AGAGAGGUGGCCGAGUGGUUUAAGGCGCACGCCUGGAAAGUGUGUAUAUGUUAAUAGCGUAUCGAGGGUUCGAAUCCCUUCCUCUCUG